UACGAAGGGGGCUAGCGUUGUUCGGAAUUACUGGGCGUAAAGCGCACGUAGGCGGAUUUGUUAGUCAGGGGUGAAAUCCCGGGGCUCAACCUCGGAACUGCCUUUGAUACUGCAAGUCUUGAGUCCGGAAGAGGUGAGUGGAAUUCCUGGUGUAGAGGUGAAAUUCGUCGAUAUUAGGAGGAACACCAGUGGCGAAGGCGGCUCACUGGUCCGGUACUGACGCUGAGGUGGGAAAGCGUGGGGAGCAAACAGG
rnacentral:rRNA from 1 species